rnacentral:rRNA from 1 species
GUCUACUGCCAUGCCACCCUGAACAAGCCGGAUCCCGUCUGAUCUCAGAAGCUAAGCAGGGUCGGGCCUGGUUAGUAUUUGGAUGGGAGACCACCUAGGAAGACCAGGUGCUGUAGGCG